rnacentral:lncRNA from 1 species
AACUUUCAUGGCAAAAAGGACACCAGAAAACCCAACAGCAUAUUCAGAGUAAUAUGCUCUCUCGUAAUCAAAGAAAAGUACAAGGGAUUUGGCUAGUAGCAGUGUGAUGCCCUGGGACAUGCCAAGUAGUGCAACAACCAUAGCAGCAAAUUCAUUACUUCCCAUUGAAGUUUCCAACUGAAUCCCCUUCCAUAAAAGUGACAUCAUAUUGUAGAACAGGUGAGAUUCACUCGCAUGAUAGAAUGGCGACAAGAAGAAUCGUUUGAGGUCCUUGUACUGUUCAUCAAAUGAAAACAUCAAACAUUAAUCCAACAUGAGCAAAUAAUAAAAAAUAUGAUUUUGGAAUCGGUGUUAAACUGAACUCUUUUGCCACGCGCAUUUAUAACAGUGUAUCGUUAAGAUUUAAUCACAUAUAAUUUCUUGCUCCGCAGCAUAUUAAUUGCAGCGCUUACUGCAACAGUAUCUGUUCUAGCUUCUAAGAAGGCUGGAAAGUCACAAUUUAUCUAAUGAGUCAUCGAAUCAAUCAAGAUUGAUUGUCAACCAAAUCUUUCAAUUCUUCGAUGGCGUAAUUCUUCCAAGGGAAUAUUGGAAUGACGUGACAGCUGAUCAGAUGACAAAUCAUUGCCACUCCGACUUGUUCCACACAUCUCACAUAUGCUUAACCAACCGGAAUUAUCAAACGUGCAUGCAGGGCACCUCCAUAUGAUAGGGGCAGUUCUUCGUGUGUCACUUCCACCAACAGUUCCUCGACCAUAAAUCCUAGGCCGCCGAAACAGGUAUCGUGCAAACCUCAAAGGCCAACUCAAUACACCAGUAGCACCUCUAAUGAUUGUAGUCAGCGGGUCUGAACCCGAAUAACCACCUUUCAACUUCAAAUACAGAAUCCCAGCAAGUAUACCACCAAGAUGACCAAGAAAGGAGACACCAGGCACAAACAUCUGAAUAAUAAUCAACUCUGCCCAAGCAGCAUAUCGUGCCGGUACCAACAGCCCAUGUACGUUAGUAUAGUCUUCAGACCGAGAAUUGAGAACAACUUUCAUGGCAAAAAGGACACCAGAAAACCCAACAGCAUAUUCAGAGUAAUAUGCUCUCUCGUAAUCAAAGAAAAGUACAAGGGAUUUGGCUAGUAGCAGUGUGAUGCCCUGGGACAUGCCAAGUAGUGCAACAACCAUAGCAGCAAAUUCAUUACUUCCCAUUGAAGUUUCCAACUGAAUCCCCUUCCAUAAAAGUGACAUCAUAUUGUAGAACAGGUGAGAUUCACUCGCAUGAUAGAAUGGCGACAAGAAGAAUCGUUUGAGGUCCUUGUACUGUUCAUCAAAUGAAAACAUCAAACAUUAAUCCAACAUGAGCAAAUAAUAAAAAAUAUGAUUUUGGAAUCGGUGUUAAACUGAACUCUUUUGCCACGCGCAUUUAUAACAGUGUAUCGUUAAGAUUUAAUCACAUAUAAUUUCUAAACAAACAACUACCAACCAUGAUAUUAUUAAAAAAAAAAACUCAGCACAUGAACCAAAUUGCAAAUCUAAAAGCAAUUUGCAGGCAUUAGAAUCUAUGUGCCAUAUCAAAACAUUUUAAUUUAAUUAAAACGAUAAACUAGAUUAUUAUUUGUUUUUAAUAUGAUAAAAUCAAGAGAACCAAUAAUG